rnacentral:lncRNA from 1 species
AAGGAUAAUUAAUCAAUGAAAAAGAAAUGAAGAGGUUUAUCCAUGCAAGCUUCAAACCAAAGUCAAGGAUGUCGAUCCUUCCAGGGGAGUCCAAAGUUCCCCCUUAUUCUUCUCCCUUUACUUGGAUUUUCAAAAGCUUGCAAUUUUUUAAGUGGGGGUGGGCAAUAGCUUACAUGUUUAGUCUAAACUUGGGGGUUCAAAUAUUUUGCCCAAAUUUCAAAAUUUCUAAAACAAAUUUCCUUACAAUAAGGAGCAUUAUACCUCAUUAGCUUACUUAGAUCUUGCAUAAAAAGCAUGACCGGCAACCCUUGACCACUGAGCUUGGGUUUGUGAUGUAAAAUUCUGAAUGUUGAUGAUUAUAUGUGCUGAAAUUUGAGAAUAAGCUGCCGUCUUUUUUGGUUUACGUCCCUUUUUAGCGAUAUCUUAUUGAGAUGUUAGCGAUAUCUUGUUGAGAUGUGAAUGCUUGAUUGAGAAAAUGGUAUGUGUGUUGUGAAUGCUUGAUUGCAUGUAUAUAAUAAAUAAGUGCAUGGAUACUUUUCUAGCUUUGUCUUCCUUUGUUGCUUUGCCGUGACUUACCUAUGAUGCGCUUAGUCCAAACCUAGCCUAGAUAGAGUUAAAAAAGGAUAGGAGGUACUCUUUAGAAAUUGAGAUGGUUUUAAUAAAUAACAUGAGCUAGGAGCCGUUUGUCUAGCCACAAUGAACUAAAUCCCUUUAAGAAAGGGUGGACAUUAACAAAACUUGUUGCCACUUCGAAGGGAGUAGUCAAACUUAGAAACUAAGUGUAGAACCAUAGAAAGGUUAGCCCACCGGUUCUAGCAAGACCUAGUUACCACAUUGCAUAUCAAAGAAAGAAUAGAGAGACUUGUAAACGUAAACAGUGAAACAAUUAAGAGCUAAAAAAAACAAACAACAUAUGCAAUAUACAUCAGAAAAAUCCCAUAAAAAAUGAGGGGAAACUUCACUUAUGGCCUAACCAAAACCAGACCACCUACUCUUAGCGUUCUAGACAUAGCAUCGAGUUUGAUGAGGGCUUUGAAAAGAGGAGGAAUCCUCCCCGUUCCACACUAGGGGGAAAACGAGGCUUGUUGUCACUCCGAAGGGAGCAGUCAAACUUAGCAUUGAGUUUGACGAGGGCUUUGAAAAGAGGAGGAAUCCUCCCCGUUCCAUAGUAGGGGGAAAACGAGGCUUGUUGUCACUCCGAAGGGAGCAGUCAAACUUAGAAACCAAGUCUAGAACCAUGGAAAGGUUACCCCACCGAUUCUUGUGUGCGUACCAAAGAAACAAAAGAGAUAGUUGCAAAUGUAAAACAUAAAACAGCGGGACAAUUAAGAGCUAAAAAAAACAAACAACAUAUGCAAUAUACAUCAGAAAAAUCCCAUAAAAAAUGAGGGGAAACUUCACUUAUGGCCUAACCAAAACCAGACCACCUACUCUUAGCGUUCUAGACAUUAUACAUCAGAAAAAUCCCAUUCAGAUUGUUUUAUCUUCUCAUGUUGGGCUACUUCCAAGCAAUGUUUUAAGUGAAGGGUGGAUAAUAGCUCACUUGUUUAGUCUAAACUUGGGGGAUUUCAAAUUUUGUCCAAAUUUCAAAAUUUUUCAAAAGUUUUUCAUUACAAUAAUGAGCAUCAUAGCUUCUUAGAUCUUGCAUAAAAGGCAUGACUGUCAACCCUUGAGCACUAAGCUCGGGUUUGUGACGUGAGAUUCUGAAUUUUGAUGAGUAUAUGUACUGAAAUUUGAGAAUAAGCUUAUGUCCUUUUUGUGUUUGCUAAGUUUCAACUAAUACUCUCAGUAUUUAUCUUUGUGCUUAUGUGAUAGAUUUGUUAUGCACUGUAGUGAUGUGGGGUGUUUCCUUAUUUUCUGCAUCUUAA